rnacentral:rRNA from 1 species
AUCGCAAGACCUCUCGCUAUUGGAGCGGCCGAUGUCAGAUUAGCUAGUUGGUGGGGUAAAGGCCUACCAAGGCAACGAUCUGUAGUUGGUCUGAGAGGACGACCAGCCACACUGGGACUGAGACACGGCCCAGACUCCUACGGGAGGCAGCAGUGGGGAAUUUUGGACAAUGGGCGCAAGCCUGAUCCAGCAAUGCCGCGUGCAGGAAGAAGGCCUUCGGGUUGUAAACUGCUUUUGUCAGGGAAGAAAUCUUCUGGGUUAAUACCUCGGGAGGAUGACGGUACCUGAAGAAUAAGCACCG